UACGUAGGGGGCAAGCGUUGUCCGGAAUCAUUGGGCGUAAAGCGCGUGUAGGCGGCUCGAUAAGUCUGCUGUGAAAGUUCAGGGCUCAACCCUGAAAUGCCGGUGGAAACUGUCGAGCUAGAGUCCGGAAGAGGCGAGUGGAAUUCCUGGUGUAGCGGUGAAAUGCGCAGAGAUCGGGAGGAACAUCAGUGGCGAAGGCGGCCAUCUGGGACAACACUGACGCUGAGGCACGAAAGCGUGGGGAGCAAACAGG
rnacentral:rRNA from 1 species